GGCCGGGCCGCCGCCGCUGCCUCCUCACCACCCAGGGCCUGUGCGUCUGUCAGCGCUCAGCCUGGUUUUCGCUUUUCUUUCUGGUGGCAACUCCCUUUGGUCUUUUGUAUAUUUGAUACAAAUGUUUGGCGAAACCACAGAAGGUUCCGAACUUUCUGGCUUCAGGGCCCCUCGGGCUCCUCCUUUCAGCCCUUAUUCCCCCCAUCCAGGUUACCGUUCAUUCAGUGCUGAUACCCUUGUUCUUGCCAAAGGAACUGUGCUCCUCGUCAUAGAAAUCGUGCUCCAUUCAGUUAUUGUCUAGAAGAGCCCUAAGGAGAAACGUGGAGUUAGGGCAGAAAACUAAGACCUAACUUGCUAUCUUGUCUGGAGUCAUAUGGUGACUCUGCAACUUGAUGGAUGACGACAACCCUUUUCCAUCAAAAAAUAAUUCAAAAAUGGCAGAACUCUUUAUGGAAUGUGAAGAAGAAGAGCUAGAACCAUGGCAGAAGAAAGUAGAAGAAAUUCUGGAUGAAGACGAUGAUGAGCUGAUCUUUGUUGGAGAGAUAUCAAGUUCAAAACCAGCCAUUUCAAAUAUUUUGAACAGAGGUAACCCCGGCUCAUCUUCAAAGGGAAUAAAGAAUGAGACACUCACUCAAGGUGUUACUGAUACAUUCAAGCCUACAAGUCAACACUACAAAGAUCCAACAUCAAAUCCGGUGGCUGCCUUGCCUAGAUUUCAUCCUGAAUCUAAAUCUUCACAAAGCCCUGUUAUUGUUCAGAACGUGUCUAAACCUGAUUUUACAAAGAAUUUAUCACAAGUUGAAUCGGAUGAUUCUUCAGAUUUACUGUUUGACUUGACCCAGGAUACAAUUCCACUGUCCCAGGAGGGAUCAACAAUUUAUAUAGAAGGUAUAGAUGAAACUCUGCCUAUAAUAAAACGUUCUUCUACUUCUAAAGUAAACAGUGUUAAUCCAAAAAAGCCAAAGACCAGUGAAAGUGGUUCUGACAUAAGUCCUUGUGCUUCGUUGUCCUUAACUAACUCUCCUUCAGUGGCAUCUUCCCAUGUUAUGAUAUCAAAAGGUACAAAUACCUCAUCACCUCACUAUAAAACUGGAGCGCCUUUUCUAAGAUCUUGUCCGAGGUGCAAUGUAAAGUUUAAUCUUUUGGAUCCCUUGAAAUAUCACAUGAAGCGUUGUUGUCCAGACAUGGUAAAUAAAUUCUUGGAAAUGAUUAAAGCAGAACUUAUAAAUACUGAAAAUAAAAAUAAGACUGGUGCAGAAAAAGGAAAAUUAAUUAUGUUAGUUAGUGACUUUUACUAUGGAAGACACGAGGGAGCUGUUGAUGAUGAACAGAAGACUUACACAACUUUUAAAUGCUUCAGUUGCUUGAAAGUUCUUAAAAAUAAUAUUAGGUUUAUGAACCACAUGAAACACCAUCUGGAACUUGAGAAGCAGAACAGCGAGAGCUGGGAAAACCAUACUACCUGCCAGCACUGCUACCGUCAGUAUCCCACACCGUUCCAGUUGCAGUGUCACAUCGAGAGCACACACACUCCGCAUGAGUUUUCUACUAUUUGCAAAAUCUGUGAAUUAUCAUUUGAAACCGAACAUGCUCUUUUGCAACAUAUGAAGGACACUCAUAAACCCGGUGAAAUGCCAUAUAUUUGCCAGGUUUGCCAGUUUAGAUCUUCAACAUUUUCUGAUGUAGAGAAUCAUUUUAGAGCAUCCCAUGAAAACACUAAGAACUUGCUGUGUCCAUUUUGCCUCAAAGUUAGUAAAAUGGCAACUCCCUACAUGAAUCAUUACAUGAAGCAUCAGAAAAAAGGAGUUCAUCGUUGUACCAAGUGCAGACUACAAUUUUUGACCUGCAAAGAGAAACUGGAUCACAAGACCCAGCAUCGGACAUUUAUAAAGCCUAAAGAGCUAGAAGGAUUGCCUCCUGGUACAAAAGUUACUAUUCGAGCCUCAGUUGGACCUCUUCAUUCAAAACCAGUAACUACAUCUCCCAGUAGCAGUGUUCCAAGCACUUCUUCUUUUCAAAUCUCACCUCCAAGGUCUAAAAGUACAACUGCUAAAAAUAUAAAAUCUACUACAAGUAAAUCUAAGACAAAUAGGCCUCAUGCAGCUGUAUCCAGUGCAAGUAAACCUCAUGCCAAAAGGCAAGGUAGAGUUGCAUCUAAAUAUAAGACCAAAAAAACCUCUUGUAAACAAAAGAAACAACGCAACAGAAAGAAUAAAAUCAGCAUAGCUUUGAAGAACUUAAGGUGCCGUCGGGGAAUUCACAAGUGCAUUGAGUGUCAUUCCAAAAUAAAAGAUUUUGCAAGCCACUUUUCAAUAUAUAUCCACUGUAAUUUUUGCAAAUACAACACUAACUGUAACAAAGCCUUUAUAAAUCAUAUGGUGAGCUCUCAUAGCAACCAUCCAAGUAAACGGUUUUAUAUUUUUAAGAAGCAUUCCGGAAUUCUCAGGGGCAUUACUCUAGUGUGCCUUAAAUGUGACUUCCUAACUGAUUCUUCUGGCUUAGAUCGUAUGGCUAAACACCUAAGUCAGCGUAAAACUCAUACUUGCCAAGUUGUAAUAGAGAAUGUUCCUGAAAGUACCUCAACUUCUGAACCCUCGUCUGAGUUCUGGAAAAACAGACUGAAAUCUCUUCCCUGGUGGAGCUUAUAUUUCAGUGGCGGAAGACAAGACAAUAAAAAAUAAGAAAUUUAUAUAGUAUGUUAGAUGAUGAUCAAUGCAACGGAGCAAAAUAAAGUGGGCAAGGAGGAUGUUUCAGGUGUCUAAGUGCCGAGACUGGGACCAGGAUUAGCUCCUUCAGAUGGGCUUCCAACCCAGGAAAUGGGGAAGACUCAAGGGUGUAGCUCUGAAAAGUGAAGACGAUCUGUAGAGGAGACAUACUGGCUAUCAUGGAUCAUUCCAGAGACAUAGUGAGACUGCAUGAGAGGCCUGGAAGCACCUCACUUCACUUGAUUCUCCCUGCUCCUCACCACCCUCAACAGCAACAAGGAUGUCAUGAUUCUCUGGCCUCCUUAGUCCCCUUCCUCUGGUGGCAUUCUGGGAUCAGCCCAUUCCCAAAUCCUUUUGCUCCUUCUGAUGGAGGCUUGAGUGCCAUUGUGCCACCCUGCUGAUGCCAGCAGCAAGCUCUAGGGCUAGGAGACUGGGUGGAGCCUGGAGGUUCUCAGGAUUCCCAGGGUCACAGUGGGAAGCCCCAGGACUUCUUGGCUGUUCCCAGGCACCUGAGGGAGAACAAUGUCAUUACUGCAGGAAAGGACAGGAUCACGCAGGUGAGGCUCAGAGGACAGAGGCAGGUAGGAUUGGUGAGCACCUUCUAUUCAGAGCAAAAUUACCAGAGCCUUGGCAGGACCAAAAGAUGAUAGUCUUGGGGAAGUUCAGAGUCUGAUUUUUAAGGUGGGGGGCAGCCAGUAUGGAAAUGACAGUCCUAAGGCCCACAUUCAGGAGUCAUCCAGGAAAGGUGUCUAUUCCUCUCAGAAGAGCUAAGGAAAGUAGAGGCUUUUUGCUCUUGCUGGUCACCAAGCCUGCUGAAUCUUACCAAAGGCUAUUGAGUCUAGGUAAUGAUAAAACCUUCCACUCGCUUCCCACUGCACUUAAAUAAAACUCCAACCCAACAGACCUGGCCUCACCUACUUCUCAACCUCAUCGCCCACAUGCUCUCCCUUGCUCCCACUAGCCUCCUUUCUGUUUCUCAAGCACACCAACCUCACUUCUGCCUCAGGGCCUUGGCAUUUGCUGUUUCUUCAGCCUGGGGUUCUCGUUCUGACCUCAUACCUGGUUGCUCCUCUCCAUUCAGGUCUCAGCUCAAAUGUUACCUCUUCAAAGAUACCUGUUGUGAUCACUGUAUCUAAUAUGUUGCCCUUCCCCCACCUCCCUCACUUUCCAUCCAUUUACCCUGUUUUAUGACCCUGAGAGUCCUUAUUGCUCUCAAAUUCUCUCAUUAUGUAUCUCACUUCUUGUAUUAGUGUCUAUCUCCUUUGUGAAAGCAGGAUUUAAAUUGUUCGCCUGCAUUAUCCCCAGGGCUUAGCACAGUGGCUCAUAGUAGAUGGUCAGUAAAUAUUUGUUGAAUGACUGAAAGGUGUCAGAGGCAAUUCCGGUCUAGAAGAGGCAAUCCUGAUUAGAGGACUCAGAAUGUUGUUAUCUUGACCCUGUUACGGCAGAGAAGGACCCUGAACAAGACAAGCCAAGACCCAGACUGAAAUGUAACCAUCAGAAUGGAUAAGUGUACCUGCAGCGACUGAGAGAUGGCCCAGCCCUGCAGCCAAGUCAAGAGCCAAAAGACACCACACAACAGCAGGUCGUGUCCUGGGUAAGGACUCAGCAUCUGAAGUCUGAGACAAGGCCCAAGGCCCAAGUCAGUUGGGGAGAAGUAUAGCAACAGGGGGUUCAGCAAGCAGUUCACCAACAGACAACAGGCUCCUAGCCCCUUGGGUGAGAUUCAGGGGCAGGGUGUUGGGUGGGGACAACUAGUAAAAAAAAAACCAAAACCUAGCCCUAACUGGGGUACUAGGCAGGCUUCAAAGACGGAUCAAGGCAGAAGCCAAGUAAUGAAAACCAAACCGGUGACUGGGA